rnacentral:rRNA from 7 species
CAGUCGAGCGAAUGGAUUAAGAGCUUGCUCUUAUGAAGUUAGCGGCGGACGGGUGAGUAACACGUGGGUAACCUGCCCAUAAGACUGGGAUAACUCCGGGAAACCGGGGCUAAUACCGGAUAACAUUUUGAACCGCAUGGUUCGAAAUUGAAAGGCGGCUUCGGCUGUCACUUAUGGAUGGACCCGCGUCGCAUUAGCUAGUUGGUGAGGUAACGGCUCACCAAGGCAACGAUGCGUAGCCGACCUGAGAGGGUGAUCGGCCACACUGGGACUGAGACACGGCCCAGACUCCUACGGGAGGCAGCAGUAGGGAAUCUUCCGCAAUGGACGAAAGUCUGACGGAGCAACGCCGCGUGAGUGAUGAAGGCUUUCGGGUCGUAAAACUCUGUUGUUAGGGAAGAACAAGUGCUAGUUGAAUAAGCUGGCACCUUGACGGUACCUAACCAGAAAGCCACGGCUAACUACGUGCCAGCAGCCGCGGUAAUACGUAGGUGGCAAGCGUUAUCCGGAAUUAUUGGGCGUAAAGCGCGCGCAGGUGGUUUCUUAAGUCUGAUGUGAAAGCCCACGGCUCAACCGUGGAGGGUCAUUGGAAA